GGCGAACCGGGGGAACUGAAACAUCUAAGUACCCCGAGGAAAAGAAAUCAACCGAGAUUCCGAAAGUAGCGGCGAGCGAAAUUGGACUAGCCCUUAAGCUUUACACGCGUUAGACGAACGGUCUGGAAAGUCCGACGAUACAGGGUGAUAGUCCCGUAGUUGACGACGUGUGUUCAGUGAAAUCGAGUAGGGCGGGACACGUGAUAUCCUGUCUGAAUAUGGGGGGACCAUCCUCCAAGGCUAAAUACUACUGACUGACCGAUAGUGAACCAGUACCGUGAGGGAAAGGCGAAAAGAACCCCUGUGAGGGGAGUGAAAUAGAACCUGAAACCGUGUACGUACAAGCAGUAGGAGCAGGCUUUGUCCUGUGACUGCGUACCUUUUGUAUAAUGGGUCAGCGACUUAUAUUCAGUGGCAAGGUUAACCAUCUAGGGGAGCCGUAGGGAAACCGAGUCUUAACUGGGCGUUCAGUCUCUGGAUAUAGACCCGAAACCAGGUGAUCUAGCCAUGGGCAGGUUGAAGGUUGAGUAACAUCAACUGGAGGACCGAACCGACUAAUGUUGAAAAAUUAGCGGAUGACUUGUGGCUAGGGGUGAAAGGCCAAUCAAACCUGGAGAUAGCUGGUUCUCCCCGAAAGCUAUUUAGGUAGCGCCUCGGACGAAUACUACUGGGGGUAGAGCACUGUUAAGGCUAGGGGGUCAUCCCGACUUACCAACCCUUUGCAAACUCCGAAUACCAGUAAGUACUAUCCGGGAGACACACGGCGGGUGCUAACGUCCGUCGUGGAGAGGGAAACAACCCAGACCGCCAGCUAAGGUCCCAAAUUACUACUAAGUGGGAAACGAUGUGGGAAGGCUCAGACAGCCAGGAUGUUGGCUUAGAAGCAGCCAUCAUUUAAAGAAAGCGUAAUAGCUCACUGGUCGAGUCGGCCUGCGCGGAAGAUGUAACGGGGCUAAGUAGUAAACCGAAGCUGCGGCAAUGUGCUUUUGCACAUUGGGUAGGGGAGCGUUCUGUAAGCGGUUGAAGGUGUGUGGUAACGCAUGCUGGACGUAUCAGAAGUGCGAAUGCUGACAUGAGUAACGAUAAAGGGGGUGAAAAACCUCCUCGCCGGAAGACCAAGGGUUCCUGUCCAACGUUAAUCGGGGCAGGGUAAGUCGACCCCUAAGGCGAGGCCGAAAGGCGUAGUCGAUGGGAAACGGGUUAAUAUUCCCGUACUUCUUACAAUUGCGAUGGGGGGACGGAGAAGGCUAGGUGGGCCUGGCGACGGUUGUCCAGGUUCAAGUGCGUAGGCUUAAGANNNNNNNNNNNNNNNNNNNNNNNNNNNNNNNNNNNNNNNNNNNNNNNNNNNNNNNNNNNNNNNNNNNNNNNNNNNNNNNNNNNNNNNNNNNNNNGAUGUGAAGUCAUUGAUGCCAUGCUUCCAGGAAAAGCCUCUAAGCUUCAGAUUGUAAGGAAUCGUACCCCAAACCGACACAGGUGGUCGGGUAGAGAAUACCAAGGCGCUUGAGAGAACUCGGGUGAAGGAACUAGGCAAAAUGGUACCGUAACUUCGGGAGAAGGUACGCUCUCGACGGUGAAGUCCCUCGCGGAUGGAGCUAUUGAGAGUCGCAGAUACCAGGUGGCUGCAACUGUUUAUUAAAAACACAGCACUGUGCAAAAUCGUAAGAUGACGUAUACGGUGUGACGCCUGCCCGGUGCCGGAAGGUUAAUUGAUGGGGUUAGACUUCGGUCGAAGCUCUUGAUCGAAGCCCCGGUAAACGGCGGCCGUAACUAUAACGGUCCUAAGGUAGCGAAAUUCCUUGUCGGGUAAGUUCCGACCUGCACGAAUGGCGUAAUGAUGGCCACGCUGUCUCCACCCGAGACUCAGUGAAAUUGAAAUCGCUGUGAAGAUGCAGUGUACCCGCGGCUAGACGGAAAGACCCCGUGAACCUUUACUACAGCUUGGCACUGAACAUUGACCCUACAUGUGUAGGAUAGGUGGGAGGCUUUGAAGCACGUACGCCAGUAUGUGUGGAGCCGUCCUUGAAAUACCACCCUUGUAGUGUUGAUGUUCUAACGUCGACCCCUUAUCGGGGUUGCGGACAGUGCCUGGUGGGUAGUUUGACUGGGGCGGUCUCCUCCCAAAGAGUAACGGAGGAGCACGAAGGUGGGCUAAUCACGGUUGGACAUCGUGAGGUUAGUGCAAUGGCAUAAGCCCGCUUGACUGCGAGAAUGACAAUUCGAGCAGGUGCGAAAGCAGGUCAUAGUGAUCCGGUGGUUCUGAAUGGAAGGGCCAUCGCUCAACGGAUAAAAGGUACUCCGGGGAUAACAGGCUGAUACCGCCCAAGAGUUCAUAUCGACGGCGGUGUUUGGCACCUCGAUGUCGGCUCAUCACAUCCUGGGGCUGAAGUCGGUCCCAAGGGUAUGGCUGUUCGCCAUUUAAAGUGGUACGCGAGCUGGGUUUAGAACGUCGUGAGACAGUUCGGUCCCUAUCUGCCGUGGGCGUUGGAAGAUUGAAGGGGGCUGCUCCUAGUACGAGAGGACCGGAGUGGACGAACCUCUGGUGUUCGGGUUGUGUCGCCAGACGCAUUGCCCGGUAGCUAAGUUCGGAAUCGAUAACCGCUGAAAGCAUCUAAGCGGGAAGCGAGCCCUGAGAUGAGUCUUCCCUGAUACUUUAAGUAUCCUAAAGGGUUGUCGGAGACUACGACGUUGAUAGGUCAGGUGUGUAAGUGCUGUGAGGCAUUGAGCUAACUGAUACUAAUUGCCCGUGAGGCUUAACCAUACAACACCCAAGGGGUUU
rnacentral:rRNA from 1 species